CCUACGGGUGGCAGCAGUGGGGAAUCUUCCGCAAUGGGCGAAAGCCUGACGGAGCAACGCCGCGUGAUCGAAUGAAGGCCUUCGGGUUGUAAAGAUCUGUUGACAGGGACGAAUAAGCAAUGCGAAUAGUUUUGUGUAUGACGGUACCUGGUUAGAAAGCUCCGGCUAACUACGUGCCAGCAGCCGCGGUAAUACGUAGGGAGCAAGCGUUGUCCGGAAUUACUGGGCGUACAGGGGGCUGAGGUGGGCGCUUAAGUCAGGGGUGAAAACUCCGGGCGCAACCUGGAGACUGCAGUUGAAACGGGUUGUCUAGAGGGCAGGAGAGGAAAGUGGAAUUCCUAGUGUAGCGGGGGACAGCGU
rnacentral:rRNA from 1 species